CUCUGUGUGUGUGUGCCUGAAGCAACAUACACAACCUGCCUGCCAACGCAGCCACUGGAAGCAAGUAAGUCUUCCCCUGCCAAGGGGAAUUUACCGCCAAGCCCCAACUGUGGGGAAACUGGACUAGCUGGGCCAUGCCCCAAACUAAAGGAUUUAUGUACGGAACAGCUCAGACAACAG